GAUAAGAUACAGAGAAGUCCUGGUACAUCUGUCGAUCAAGAUAUGGGGAAUAUGUCAUCAUCUGAUGGAACAAAACUGAAGAAACCCAAAGAAACAACCCCAGAGGAGUCUGAAGGAGAGGAGGGAGGGAUGGAGGUGGAUAAAUCCAAGGAGGCCUCCUCCCCCAACAGGAAGGAGAACAG